AUUGAACGCUGGCGGCAGGCCUAACACAUGCAAGUCGAGCGGCAGCGGGAAAGUAGCUUGCUACUUUUGCCGGCGAGCGGCGGACGGGUGAGUAAUGCCUGGGAAAUUGCCCAGUCGAGGGGGAUAACAGUUGGAAACGACUGCUAAUACCGCAUACGCCCUACGGGGGAGAGCAGGAGACCUUCGGGACUUGCGAGAUUGGUAAGGCCCAGGUGGGAUUAGCUAGUUGGUGGGGUAAUGGCUCACCAAGGCGACGAUCCCUAGCUGGUCUGAGAGGAUGAUCAGCCACACUGGAACUGAGACACGGUCCAGACUCCUACGGGAGGCAGCAGUGGGGAAUAUUGCACAAUGGGGGAAACCCUGAUGCAGCCAUGCCGCGUGUGUGAAGAAGGCCUUCGGGUUGUAAAGCACUUUCAGCGAGGAGGAAAGGUUGAUGCCUAAUACGUAUCAACUGUGACGUUACUCGCAGAAGAAGCACCGGCUAACUCCGUGCCAGCCGCCGCAGUAAAAC
rnacentral:rRNA from 1 species